rnacentral:snRNA from 1 species
AGAGGCUUCACAGAGAUGCUC